UCGCAAUUACAAAAAAAAAAACAAAUAUAGAGCUUCCACAUGUGGCGACGUGUUCCUCCCAUACAUCUUGGCCCACACCAUUGGGCCCCUAUCCGUCGGCCUGCUAGCCCGCAGAUGUUCAGCUGCUAGCCAGGCAGGGGACGGUCCUUCUCCCCCUGGGCCUGGGCCCUUACGAGACGCCGGGUCGGCGUUUUCAUCGCUCGAUGCUGACUGUGGGGGGAUGGUUGUGGAAUCAAAAUCGUAGACUUAUUAUUAUCUUGGUGGCGCCAAAUCAAAAUCCUUCGCGACGACUUCGCAGCAAUAGAGAGCGACAGAGCGGGGCCUGCUUGCCUUCUUUUCCGCCGCCACCGUCGCGCCUUUGGUCCCCGUGCUCUUCUUCUCCGGUGGCAACCGGCAAGAUAUCAAUUCUCGAGACCUACUUGCAGUCCAGAGCGGUUGUCAGAACCUGACCUCCAUUAUCUUUUUUGUGUGGAAUCUAUGUUUUUUUUUGCUUGCAGUGAAAUCGGUGUAGGGUUAUAGUAAUCUUUAUAUGAUCUACAACUAAGGUAUAGAUGAACUAAUGUUUAGUUUAACUAAAAUUUAGAUAGGAUGGUUUUAGUCAGGUGUGUUUAUAUACAUGGACUAAAACUGAACCAAAAGUAAAAAAAAAACAUUUCCUUCUAGUUUACUUUAGUUCACAUUUGCUAACCAAUAGAUUAAUGCCUAGUUGGAGUGAAAACUAAAAUCCAUUUCACUUGUAGUUCACAUGUUUAGAUGACUAAAAUUUAGUUGAGUGUAUCCAAUGUAAGCGUGAGAAAUGUUCUGCACCCAAGCGGAUUCAUGUGAGACAAAAAAAAAAGCAUCAAAUACCACGCAAAGCGAAGGACGACGCUCUGGUCCUCUGUAUGACAAGAGCGAGAUGUGCGUGUCAUGCGCUGCAUCAGGCUCUUACUAUACGCGAGAAUAACCCAGCCUGUGCAGGUUGCAAUUCGCAGAGGAUUCCCAUCCCAUCUGGUAGAUGGUAACAUGCAGCUUGGACACUGACGCUGACACUCAGUUGCAUUACAGAUAUUUUGGACACGAACUGGCUACACGAAUCCUGAAUUUUACCGCAAGUUUGGAGAUGCUGUAACUUGUGGUUUACUGCGACAGCGUGCUGGCUCGAGUGAGACUGUUCCUGCAGCUCGCUUUACUGUUCUGCUGUCUAGCUUCACAGUGGGUUUAAGGACAGCGGCCGUGUCAGCCCUGUCUCCAAAAUAACCAACUCCUUUGGCCCUUUCCACAAUAUAGAAGCCCUUUGGCCUCACUCAGUCAGUCCCCUGCUGCCCCCCACCCCAAGCUUUGAUCUGCCAAAGAAACCCUGCCUGCCUCCUGCACAAGAGCAAGGAGAGAGAGAAACAAAUGUAUGCUGUUUGGCCAGUCACUUGAUUCCAUAUGUAGUGGCACCAGCAUGAAGGAAGCAGGAAUCCAACAAAAACUUGUUACUCUGGUACAGAUAAUGUUCCAAAUGAAUGGGAGCAUGCUCAGCCUCAGAAGUCAGGAUACCAUAUGAAAAGGGAAUUUGUUUAGCAGGGAAUCAAAACCAUAGUUUUGGUUCGUGAUGAAGGAGCAUCUGUAGUACACAUCAAACAUCAAAAACCGAUUCACUCACUCCAAAAAAAGGGCACUCAAAAGGAUUGUGACAGAUCACAUGAAAGUGAAGGUUAUUUCUUCAGGGGUGCUGCUUCUUUUGAACAUCACUUUUGCCAUGGCAAUCUCUCAUGUGUCAUGCUGUUCUCUCCUAGAACGACUCAAAGAUGAGCUCUUUCCCUUUUCUUUUCCACAGAUGACCUGAUUUACCUCCCAAUAGGAAUGUACUUGAGGGGAGAACAAGGGCGAUCAGAUAACAAUGCCUCCCAAAACCCUUUUUUAAUCCACUGUCAUUUUACCCUUCUCUAGUUCUCUUCACAAGAAGAAGCGAGGGAUUGAAAGGGAAAGGCAGGAAAACAACAUGGCAUAACCCAAAAAAAGCAAAGUGCAACAAAAAGCAAGCAUGGCUCAGCAGCUUGCUUUGGUUCUACUCUCCCCCCUCGGCCUCGGCCUCGGCCCCUCAAAAGCACAGCAGAAUCGGCCAAAGCAAAAGAAUGCCCCCAGAGGCGGCCAGGAACAGAACAAGAAGCAAGAAUACUGAGUACCGCAGCAGCGACUGACUGACACAAAUCCUGCUGCUACAGUGCUACUUCCUCCCCACACACACACAUUAUAAUAUGCAGUCACGUUGCGCGGCCGCAGCAGCGCUGCAUCGCAUUAGCGCCACCCUAGUCCCCAUGCCCGUGAGAGGAAGCUCUUAGAAGGCCAGCGCUGUCGCCAGGAGAGAGAGAGAGAGAGAGGAGGAGGAGGAGGAGGAGGAAGCCACGACGGCGGAAGACGACGCAGCGCGGCGGCGACCGGCGGGUGUCAUGGCAAGGUCGGCCGUGGCCGUGAGGCGGGCGGCAUUGGCCAUCGUGUUCGGAGGGCUUCUCCUGAUGUCGUUGGUUAUGGACGACGUCAAGAAAGCGGCGAUCGGCGGGAGGAGGAUGCUGGCCAGAGGCGACGGACGAGGGCAGAGCACUCUGGAGGAUUUCCAGGCUGCUGAUGUUCCCUUCCAGGACAGCAAGAGAAGGGUGCCCAACGGUCCUGAUCCUAUCCACAACAGGUACCUUGAUUUAUACAGAUUACUGCACUGCACUGCAAGCUUGGUAUUGGUGUUCGAGUUCGUCCCUCUUUUCCCUUGCCAUUACCGAGAAGCAGCAGUUGCUAUCUCUGUACCAGUGCACAGGUUUCAUGGACCUAGACGUUUUAGGCUUGAAAAAUGGCUUCUUUUACUACGUAUACGUACGCUGAGAGGGAACAGAUACUGUGUGUAGGUCAUCCAGCUUGAAAUAGCAGAACUCCAACACAUGGCAUUUUUGUCCUAACUUGCUUGUUUUGGCUUUCAAACAUGCAAUCAGUCUGUCUCACACUAUGCUCGCGUCUACCAUGUUUUACAUACAUGUAGAAUAAAUAGGCCAAAAAAAACUGAUAUUUCACAUAAUAUCAUAGACAAGCACUAACUGGGUAACGGAUAAAAGGGAGGAGGUGAAAAAGAUGUCACGCGCUCCUCUUCCUCAUCACUCCCACAUUCCCCUAUGAUGAUGUGGUAAUCUUUCAGCGACGGAUAAGUCCUAUUCCACCCCACCCCACAACCCCCACACUAGAUGGAUGUGUUUGGUUUGAUAUUAAAGUAGGAUGUGGCGGGGCGACAUCAGUCCUCUCGAUUUUUUUGGAUCACGCCGAUACCAAAUAUUACUAUAGUGUUUACCUCGCCUCCACGUGACUCUCAUUCAAAUACUAUAGAAACUAUAGACACCCAUCCAUCACUCUUUGUACAUCCAACCAAAUACACAUCAUUGUCGGAAUCAUUACUAUUCAAACAAAGCGCAGCAGGCAGCACACCACGGUUCAUCAUCAUGAUAAAUAAAUAAACAAACAGACAACAGGAACUCUUAACGGUUUCAGUGCAUCACCUGCUGAAAGAAAAAGACUGCUGCUGCUGCUGCUUCAGGCCUCUCACCCUUGUAAUCCGGUUUCAAAUCCUUGCGCCUUCUCCAGGGGAACCGGCAAAUCAGGACGGUCGCCGGGCCGAGCGUGACGUCGGCAGCGCGCAUGCGGAGGCGUGCAUGGAAGCGUCCGAUUCCGAAGAGGCCGGCGACAUGUUGGGAGCGGCCGCAAGCAAACAGAAGAUGCGUUGCAUGGACGAAGAGGAACAGAGACUGGGAUGUUGGGUGUAACUAGGGGGAGGUGGCCUAUCUUCUUCUAAGC
rnacentral:lncRNA from 1 species